UCCCCCGUUCCGUUUUUUUCUGUCUAUCUUCCGCACACGCUUCAAACCCUCACAAUGAGAAGUCUAAGCAUGGCGGAAGACUUUGUCUUCCGUUAGCUUGAUGUCACAACAUGUGAGUGGAAAGACACUGUUUGCUGUUUAUUUGAGCUCGCCCGUGGAAAAAAACAGAAUUGGACGGCAAACCAAAGACAGAAAAACCCCAAAAAUUCCGCCUCCGCUAGACGAAACGGCCAAACCAGGUGGUGCUUGACAUGGGGGGGGAGCAACAUUCCUGACAUAUUCAACACAUUUGGAGAAGAAACUGGAAAAGCAAGCGGGGCGCGCGGCGCAGUCUUGGUGUGGUGAACCUCGGCCCGAGAGGGAGGCCGUCGGGCCCCAGUUGGCCCGCUUGACUUGCAGCCACACGGCAGCAGCUGCACGGUCAGGCCACACCAACGCUCCGAGCCGCAAACCAGAGCGACAUGACUCGGAGCUACGCCUGCUUGCCUGAUCGCUAUGUCCUAUUAGCUUCUUCCGUCCUGUUAUAUGGUUUAUGAACCUGUCCGUCUACUUAGCCGAUGGUGUCGACAUUUAAAAAGGGGAAUUAAUAUCACGGACGGGCUCUUAAACUUUAAUGCAGUUUGCAUUUGAAGUAAACAUUGAUAUGAAUACAAAAAAUGGCUACAGUAAGGUGUGAUGGGACAGCUAAUGCUAACAUGCCAUAUCCUGUGUUGUAAAUGUAUAAGUGACAUAAUUCAAAAUGUAUUUGAAUGUAUUACUGCAAUUCUACUAGCCUUGAGCUACAAAC